rnacentral:tRNA from 1 species
GGCUUGCUGGUCUAGUGGUAUGAUUCUCGCUUAGGGUGCGAGAGGUCCCGGGUUCGAUUCCCGUGCAAGCCC